rnacentral:rRNA from 1 species
GACGAGGGACCCUAGCGUUGUUCGGAAUCAUUGGGCGUAAAGCGGGUGUAGGUGGCUUUGUAAGUCAGAUGUGAAAGCCCAGGGCUUAACCUUGGAAGUGCAUUUGAUACUGCGAAGCUUGAGUGCUGGAGAGGUUACUAGAAUUCCUGGUGUAGUGGUGAAAUACGUAGAUAUCAGGAGGAAUACCGGAGGCGAAGGCGGGUAACUGGCCAGACACUGACACUCAGACCCGAAAGCGUGGGGAUCAAACAGG